rnacentral:rRNA from 1 species
AUUGAACGCUGGCGGAAUGCUUUACACAUGCAAGUCGAACGGCAGCACGGGGGCAACCCUGUGGCGAGUGGCGCACGGGUGAGUAAUACAUCGGAACGUAUCCUAGAGUGGGGGAUAGCCCGGCGAAAGCCGGAUUAAUACCGCAUACGCUCGAAAGAGGAAAGUGGGGAUCGUAAGACCUCACGCCCAAGGAGCGGCCGACUGCCGGAUUAGCUUGUUGGUGAGGUAAAGCUCACCAAGGCGACGAUCCGUAGCUGGUCUGAGAGGACGACCAGCCACACUGGGACUGAGACACGGCCCAGACUCCUACGGGAGGCAGCAGUGGGGAAUUUUGGACAAUGGGGAAACCCUGAUCCAGCCAUUCCGCGUGAGUGAAGAAGGCC